UCAGUGUUUCUCAGACUCAGCUGUGAUGAUUUUAAGCUAAAAGGGUGGUGGAUGGAGGAGCUUGUGGUGUUUUAUGAGUCAGUAGUUAGCAAGAAGUCAGUUGUUCCUGUCUUGGCAGGUUCUCAGUUCCUUCAGGAUACAGGACCAACUGUGCUGUUGUUUAGGUGCAGUCACUCAACAUCUUUCCUCUGGUGUAGUACCUGAAACUGGAUACAGUGUUGCAAUGAGAGCUUUUGCAGCAUUAAACAGAGUAACACAACUACUCCACAUACCUUCUAGGCUUUAUUUUGGUGAUUUCAUCCUGGGAAGUUAUUGGGGUCUUUCACAGCAGCAUGAUGGCACAUUUUCAAUCUGCAAUCCAAAAGCACCAAGGCUAGAAAUAACAAGAGAACAGCAGUGGUACUGAUAAUAGCAAAAACUAGCUGGAGAAUCAUAACUAAGGCACAUCUUCCUGAGAUACAAAACUAGAUGUGUUGUCUAACCGGGCCCCUGUAGAGAAUGGAAAGCUUAUGCAUUCCCUAAUGGAGAUCCACAAGUGCCAUUCCUGAAAGGAAAUGGAUUCUUUCUGCAGCUGAAAAAGAGAACAUGACACCUGGUAAUGUAUUAGAAGCCAAAAUCCAAAUGUUAAUGGAAUUCUGUUGGCACUGA